UACAGAGGGGGCAAGCGUUGCUCGGAAUCACUGGGCGUAAAGGGCGCGUAGGCGGCCUGUUAAGUCGAACGUGAAAUCCCCGGGCUCAACCCGGGAACUGCGUCCGAUACUGGCAGGCUUGAAUCCGGGAGAGGGAUGCGGAAUUCCAGGUGUAGCGGUGAAAUGCGUAGAUAUCUGGAGGAACACCGGUGGCGAAGGCGGCAUCCUGGACCGGCAUUGACGCUGAGGCGCGAAAGCCAGGGGAGCAAACGGG
rnacentral:rRNA from 1 species